rnacentral:lncRNA from 1 species
UUUUCUCCGUUUCUGAAGGUCAUCAUGAGCCUUGUUCUUUUGAAAAAGGGAGAGUCAUGCUUGAACAAUAUACUGAAACCUGUGGUUUGCUGUCUGCUUUCCAUAAAACAUACGCUGACAGGGAGUGGGAACAUCAUAUAGUGUAAUUAUUUAAAUGAAAACAACAUAAACGAUGAGAGAAGGGCUAUUUAUAUCAAGUGCUACCAAUUAAAUGAGAACUAAUGGGCCCUGCUGAGAAAGGAUAUAGUUGGAGAGAGAAAGAAAAACUUCCUGCCAGUAGAGACCAGCAGACAAUGGGACGGUUUUCCUAGUGGGGUAAUUAUGACUCCUGGAGUGGAUUGUCCGAGGCAAGAUGAGAUAAGUACCAGCAAAAUGUAAUGCGCUUCCAACCCUAUUAUCAAUGAUGCUUUCAGAUACCAGCUCCGGGUCACAGAUUUUGAACACAAUAAAUGCUUAAUUCAGUGCUGCCCUUUCACCUCCAAGAUCUCAGGGUAACAAAAGAAACCUUUCUAUGGUGCCCAGGAAGAAUACAUGACAAGUUCCAUUCUGUACUUGGACGCUCACCGCCUGGCUGAGUUAGGCACUAGAUAAGUAUUAGUGGCUCUUGCUAUGCAAAUGUGCGGUUUCCAUUUGAAAAAAUAUCCCGCUAUCUAUGCAUAUUUAC